rnacentral:rRNA from 1 species
UGGUGGCGAUAGCGAGGAGGUCACACCCGUUCCCAUACCGAACACGGAAGUUAAGCUCUUCAGCGCCGAUGGUAGUUGGGGGUUUCCCCCUGUGAGAGUAGGACGCCGCCA